GAAUUUUAUAUAAGUUUAAUUAAUAAGGAGAUGAUUUAAAGUUAUUUAAAUUAUAUUUAAUUGGGAGGAUUAUUAAAUUUUUAAAACUUUAAUUUAAUAAAAUUACAUCAAUGAAUGAAUUAUUGAUUUUAUAUAUAAGAAUAAAAAUUAAUUACCUUAGGGAUAACAGCGUAAAAUUUUUGGAAAGAUCAUAUUGAUAAAAAUGUAUGC
rnacentral:rRNA from 1 species